rnacentral:rRNA from 1 species
UACGUAGGUGGCGAGCGUUGUCCGGAUUUAUUGGGCGUAAAGGGUGCGUAGGCGGGUCUUUAAGUCAGGGGUGAAAUCCUGGAGCUCAACUCCAGAACUGCCUUUGAUACUGAGGAUCUUGAGUUCGGGAGAGGUGAGUGGAACUGCGAGUGUAGAGGUGAAAUUCGUAGAUAUUCGCAAGAACACCAGUGGCGAAGGCGGCUCACUGGCCCGAUACUGACGCUGAGGCACGAAAGCGUGGGGAGCAAACAGG